rnacentral:rRNA from 1 species
GCCGUGCGGGCUGUCGGUGUCGGGGGCCCAUGGACGCCGAACGGCCGCCCGGCGCUGCUGCGCUCGUCACUGCUUGCGCGCGCGGUGCAGGGAGAGGCGGGGACAGUAGAUCGCGCCGCCGAGGAUGGAGGCAGGAAGGAAGACAGUAGUUCGCGGCGUUGAGGGUGGGUGGGUGGAGGCCGGAGGUUACUUUUCCGGGCGCCGGGCGGCUCUGGUCCUCGACGCGCACUCACCGGACGGCGGGCAGUUGUGCGUCUCCUAGAGCGCCGGUCGCUUCUGCGGCUCCUCCGGCGGCGGCAUCGGCGAUAUGUCCCGUCCUUCUCCUUGGACUAGUUGAACCGCCACAUUAGCUCUAGCGUGUCUACCCCAGGGAGUGUCCAAGAACCUACUACUUGAACACACCCCCAGGUUAUACGAGGUUGGUUCUACACGAAAGUACACGGAAGUUCCUUCAGAAGCUGAGAAGGUGAACGUGCUUAGUAGACCACCGCUGAUCGUAGCGGAACGACGAACAGGAGCGCGAGCGCGAGGUCGACGAAUAGUUUUAGGGCUUCUCAUCUCGCAGACGAGUUCCCGAGCAGCGUGAGCCGAGUGGUGACGUCAACCGACGUCACCAGAAGUCACCGACAAACCCCAACCGAAUAGAACCGGAUCCUGACAGCUACAAUAACGUCACGACUAUGUUCGAUUCCAACCAAAGUGAGCCUAUAGUUUCAAAGAACUACGUGGACUCGACUUACCUGUUCAAUCCUUCUUUAUGGCGCACUCGUAGCUAACGGGUUAUCACUACUUGAGUACGUCAAAGAGGACCCUACUCUUAGGUAGUUUUGGUUGAGAUUUGUUAUAUUUAGACCACCACUUUCGACCUCUUUUCCAACGUUAAACACCUCUCCAUCCUAGUCCCUUCAGUUGCGAAAACCGACGACAUGAACCUCUCCAGGGGUUUUGACUUCCGUGCUAACUUCAGACACCCUUUUAUCGUAUACAAAGAGUCUGACGUACCUAGGUUUGUCCUUGACAUGUCCUAUUAUAGGAGAAGCCUAGAAACUACCUGUCUGUCUAUAUGGUUCUUUGUUAACUCUCUACGAGUAACCAGUUCCUGGAACUUUACGACGGUAAGCCGCUGGCAUGUGUUUAACCCCUCUCUCCUCAUUUAGAUUCACCACCAGUCUUCGUCGCACAAGUCGAACGAGCACGUGAUAUGGUCUUACGUCUGUAUAUAGAAGAACUACUGGGAAAGUCACGGCAACUACGGGUAUGUCGUUGUUCGGAGAAGUUACUAAUACAGUACCCACAAGAUAGACUGUUCUGACAAGAAAACCAGUGGGUGGUUCACCUAAAAGAUGGACAUAAACUGAGGUAAGACAAUUACAGUCUACCCCUCCAAUAAGCCAGACGUGGAAUAGAUCUAAAUAACCGUCUAACGGUUCUUAAGUUCAUGGAACAUUUACGUGUAUUUCUAUGACAGCCACAAGUUCUAGGAUUGUCAUACGGGGGGUGCCUCGUUUCCUUUAUGGUUGUUUCCUCUGUCUACCUUAAGUACAUUUGUCUAUGUAUCUCAGACACCCCGGUAGUGGUCAUCUAGUUGACUAGUUCUUUCUCCUUUCUCUUAGUCCCCUAUGUCCAGAAUUCGGGAUAUACGAGAUGGACGCGGUCUUAUUUCCGAAGAACAUACGGAGAGAAAGACAAUACAGAGUGUAUCAAAAGAAUCGACCCGUUUAUAGGGUCUUAAGUACCUACCGACGGUUACAGGUUUUAGGAGUACAAUCAUGUGACUUCAAUUAAAGACACAUGCAACCAUAACCUCAAACGUGUUACUAGAAACACGAUAGCUCUAGAAAUAAACAGCAACAAGAACCGUAGGUUUGAAGUUCUAGGAAUAAAAGGGUCAAUGAGUUAAGUAACAAGGCACGUGGAUACAGGAAGAAACUAAGAUGAGGAGUUCCUUCCUAAGAAUCGGCCCAGAGAAGUCUAAACUCAUAGCAACUGGAACUAUAAGGUAAACGUAAGUACAAAUCGGAGUCAAGGUCGAAUUUGCGUAUAUCGUUACACCCCCAUAACCGACAACAACAUACCGUUCAAGAGAAACAUCGUGACGGCUACUAUCAAAACCAUUAAGUCAACGUCUCCAUGAUAAAUCGGAGUCGAUUCCUUAACUACGCCUAGUUGCCUUGGUGGUUCAGACGAGAUCGUUUAGUAAAUCCACUUAGCUAGAGUCCCCGAUAUUGUUAUGCACGGAAACUCCUCCUUCUAGCAAAGAAACGGUUUUUAGACCUCGAACAACUGUUCUUACGGCCAGGUAUGAAGAAAUUAAAACGUCGUUGACUUACCAAUUAACUUGCAGACCUUUAUUACCCACGACACCAAGAAAGAAGAAGACGGAAACAGUACCGAGAAGAAGGACGUCCUUGAAAAUCGGGACCAAAAUAACCUUACCGUAACAGGAUACCGGAAAGGGAUUUAUUAAGGAAACAAUUGUGGUAUGUUUUCGUUACACUGGAGCGUUUAUUUUAUUAUAGACACCUUGCCCACUUGGUCAUGUACCUGUAAGGCUCACUUCGUGGUCUUCAAUAACUUCUUUUGGCUGGUCGUGGUCUAACCGGGGUUCAACCGUCGCACCUCGAAUUUCUAGACUUCUAAUCCAUGUCCCUUCUACGUGGGGAACAUGAUGUACCAUAGUGAACGUUUAAAGUUCCAUCUCUAUUCUAACCAUAACAACCAGCUUGUCCUUCACCGUUCUGUUGAAAUUAACCACGUAACAAAGCGGAACAACUUGGACGACUUCCCUUUUAUUAAUAUCUGAGACACCUGUAGUCAUGUUAUCCGAACGUACUGGACGCAAGCGCAAACCCGUAGUAAGGUGUUCUAGGUUGUGAAAAAGUCCCAUGUCAUUCUAUGUUAGAUCUAGGAGAACCCGUUAAGAGCCUAGUCGUUUAUACCCUCCAAGAACUGUUUACAGUUGAAGAACUUCGACAGGUCCUCUUCUUUGUCCCUAACCUAAGUGAACAACGCCUUCUGCCCAGCUUGACCUCGUACCCGGUUUCCGUCGAGAAAACAAACCCCGCGUGUGAAAACUUUUCCACGGCGUAGAACCAGGAACUACUUCGUUGUCGGAGAUAUCUGUUGUGUUGUCUGCGGCAGGAAGUUUUUUGCUAGGCCUGUCUUAAGUUUGUAACGUGGCAAUAAUGCCAGCGGGUGGCAUAUGGUUGUCAAUACCUGACGCUGUACCAUGAACGUUACUCACUACCCUUUCAUCGCCUCAUACUGUUUGGGAGCUUCGAGUACCUUUGACUUCCUAGAGAGAAGGCGCUCGACCACUUGCUCAUGACCAGUAUGUGUAGUUUGCCUUUGUAAAUCUUCUCUAAGAACUGCCACACACAAACCACGACGACGGAGCUGUUCUCUUUUGUGGUAUAUAUCAAAUUAGAGAACUGUAUGGAGUCUCCCUAAGUAGAUGACCUCUAGACUUCUUUUAUGCCACGGUAGAAAGUCAGUAAAGGGCCUUUUUUUAAAAAAACGAGAGAUGUCGAUGGACUUUCAAGCUCGAUGUAUGCCAAAUCGGAUACAAGCAACUGAUAACGGUGAGAAGCUUUCGCGACUCCGACUUGCCUUGUUUUUUUUUUCGUAUGGAUGGAAUCCGCCACGGCCACGGCCAAGACAAAAGAAAAAACAAGCUUAUACCAAGACAACAAAAUAACGCUUUAUUAUACCAAGACAACUGGGGUAAGUCCGACUCCACUACGAAAAGCUAAAUUAGGUCCGUAGUUGGUACGUACGUACAAACCUGUUUUGAUUUAAUCCCUUAGAUCACCUUUUAAAACUAUACUAUAGUAAUUAUUAACUACAACUUAACAACUAGUGCACGAACAAGGCCUAGUUUUCCGCGCCACCGACGACCGACUCGUGUCACCAACACCACCACCGACGAUCCCAUGCCCCACCGCUGGAACUCGUGCUGGUCAAGACCCGCCGCCGCCAAAUCCGUCGCCGACGCUGCCGCUAAGGGCGUACCCGCCACCACUAACUCCGAGCGCCAACGACCAACUCGGACCACCGCCGACGCGACACUUGAGGUCAAGUAGGAAAUGACAGUUGCAAUGGGAGUCGGGCCGUUCAAGGGUUCAACCGCCUUUAUUUUCUCGUUUCUUUCACGGUCGUUUCGAUGGUCUGAUCACGAACAAACAACGACAGACAAGAAUACAGUCUGGUACACUCUUAAGUACCAAUAGCAACUAACAUUCGAUAUAAGUCAUAAUAAAGGGAAAGGGUAAAUCAUGAAACAGUCUGAUACAAGUUGAUUUAACCCGAGUCUGGUACAAGUUGAUUUGAGUUAUGUUACGGGGCUUUACAGGUUUGAUAAAAGUCAAUAUAAGUCUAAAACAAUU